rnacentral:rRNA from 1 species
CAUGUCUGUUUGUAGGUAUAAAAAGUCCGAUCUGCCCGCUGAUAAAAGUAUUGAAGGGCCGCAGUAUCCUAACUGUGCAAAGGUAGCAUAAUCGUUAGUUCUUUAAUUGAGAUCUUGUAUGAAUGAUUAGACAAAAGAAUAACUGUCUUUAUAAUAAAGUUUGAAUUUAACUUUUAAGUGAGAAGGCUUAAAUAAUUUGGAGUGACGAUAAGACCCUAUGAAGCUUAAUAUUAUUUAGUAGUUUAAGUGAAAUAAGCAAAUAAAAUUUUAAUGAUUAAAAGAUAUUUUAUUGGGGCGAUAGAAGUAAAAUUAAAAGUAACUGCUUUGUGUUUAAAACAAAUUUAAAUGGUUGUUAGUAAAAUGAUCCUGUAUUUAGAUUAAAAGAUUAAGUUACUUUAGGGAUAACAGCGUUAUUUUUUUUGAGAGUUCUUAUCGAAAAAAAAGAUUGCGACCUCGAUGUUGAAUUAAAAUAUCUGUGUAAUUGUAGAAGUUGCAUAAGAAGGUCUGUUCGACCUUUAAAUUUUUACAUGAUUUGAGUUCAGACCGGCUUAAGCCAGGUCGGUUUCUAUCUUUCAAUAUAAAAUAUGACUACUUUA